rnacentral:rRNA from 1 species
GAUGAACGCUGGCGGCGUGCUUAACACAUGCCAGUCGAACGGGAAACCUUUUAAUGAAGCUUCGGCAGAUUUAGCUGGUUUCUAGUGGCGGACGGGUGAGUAACGCGUGGGUAACCUGCCUUAUACAGGGGGAUAACAGUCAGAAAUGACUGCUAAUACCGCAUAAGCGCACAGGACCGCAUGGUCCGGUGUGAAAAACUCCGGUGGUAUAAGAUGGACCCGCGUUGGAUUAGCUUGUUGGUGGGGUAACGGCUCACCAAGGCGACGAUCCAUAGCCGGCAUGAGAGGGUGAACGGCCACAUUGGGACUGAGACACGGCCCAGACUCCUACGGGAGGCAGCAGUAGGGAAUAUUGCACAAUGGGGGAAAACCUGAUGAAGCGACGCCGCGUGAAGGAGGCAGUAUCUCGGUAUGUAAACUUCUAUCAGCAGGGAAGAUAGUGACGGUACCUGACGAAGAAGCCCCGGCUAACUACGUG